GGCUAGGGCUCAGUGGUAGGGCACCCGCCAUGUACGUGUGAGGCCCUGGGUUCGAUCCUCAGCACCA
rnacentral:tRNA from 1 species